UUCGAUUUCUAAUUUGCGUUACGUCCUGGCAAUUGGUGGAACGAUCUUUGUAUUCCUUCAACUUUACUUGGAUCUCAUCAAGAGAAAGCCUGCAGGAUAUUCUGCCUAUCGUCGCAUUAUCCGAAAAGAAGCUAUUUCUGAAGAUAAUGACGGCGAUUUGUUGAACGUCAAAGCCGAUGAGACGAAACCUUACAAAGGUAGCAUCUCAUCAUUCGAGCAACACAUUGAUCGCGCAAAGUCGUUGUUGAAAUCAAUAGUAUUUCUUUCACAGCAGCACAUCACACUCCAUGUACUAGUGAAUUCUAAUGAAGUGAUCAGAGGAAUUACUUCCGUGGUGGAGUUUUGGCCUCCACAACAACGCAAUAAAAUCGCUCUAAAGGU